GGAGAAUCAGGAGGUCAUGGGGCCUAUUGUUGGGUACAGGGUUAUGUUACCUUAGCUGUGCAUCUGGAAUCAGGAAAUCACUGCUUCCACUGCUGGCUCAGAAACAUACCACCCAGGCUGAAGUCUAGGGAUCAGGAAACUGGCUCCAACAUGAUGGACUCUGGAGCCAUGAUUUGCCUGCUAAAGCUGUGCCAGCAAGAUAAGUAUCUCCCUUCCCACUUACACUAGCUUGAAUUGGGGUCUUGCUCAAGUGCGUCUUCAGUGAAAGUUACAUCGAGUGUGCCUGCCUCUCCUGCCUCUCCUUCCACCUCCUCUAACUCUCCUGCUUCUACCACCCCUGAGACAGCAAGACCAACCUCUCGUCAGCCUAUUCAAUGUGAAGAAAAUAAGGAGGAAGACCUUAUGAGGACCUACGUCCAAUCAAUAAAUAACUUGCGGGAGGUUCUGGAGUCCCAUGGUUAUUAAUCUCUGGAGGCUUCACCAUCCUUUGUGGGUUCCUUUAAUUAUCUCCAUUGCCUCAAAAGCUUCCAUUCUACAAAUUGCUUUUGGUGUUCUCAGAAAGAAAAAGAAAGAAAGAAAGGGAGAAAGAAAGAGAAAGAAGAAAAGAAAGGAAACGGAAAAAAGAAGAAAAAAGAAAAAAAGAUUGUUAUACUCCCUUGCUCAUUACCAUUGGCUUUCCAUUUCUUACAGAAUUAAGCCCAGCCUUCUAAGAUUGGCCUUGAGAGUGCUCCAUAACAUGUCCACUUUCUGCUUUCCCUCAGAUAAUACGGUGUAGAAAUUAAGAGCAUUAAUCUUGGAAUGGGAGCUCCUGGUUCCAUUCUUCUUUCUGUGCCUCAGUUUCAUUUCUGGAAAAUAGGAAUAAUAAUAAUACCUACUUUGUAGGGCCAUUGUGAGGCUUAAGUGACUUGUGUAAACAAGCUCUUAGAAUAGUGCCUGGUUUAUAAUAAGAACUCAAUGUUUGCAUUAUUUUACCUGUUAUUUUAUCUCCUGCUUCCCAUGUGCUUUCUCAUGCAUUAUUUACUUCCAUCACAUUACUUGUUUUUGUUAUAGGCUGAAUUGUAUCCCUCCCAAUUUUCCAUAUUGCAGUCCUGACCCCCAGCAUCUCAAAAUGUGACUGUAGUUGGAGAUUAGGACUUAAAGGAGUUCAGUUAAAAAUGAAAUCUUUAGGGUGGUCCCUAAUCCAAUCUGACUGGUAUCCUCAUAAGAAGAGAAAAUUUGGGCCAGUGAAGAGAUACCAGGGCUGCAGAGGUGACACUGCUGAACCGGUGAGCCUGGAAGUUGGGACUGUCAUCUCUGUGGGCCAGAGGACAGAAUACAGAGCCAAAGAGGACUAUUAAGGAGGCUUAAAGUCUAAUGGAAUUUGCCUUGCUAGGUUUCAGAUUUCCUUGGGACUUAUGACCCCUUCUUUCUGAUUUUUUCAUUUUGAAAUGAGAAUGUCUAUGCUAUGCCUGUCCCACUAUUGUGUUUUGGAAGCAGAUAACCUGUCUAGUUUCACAAGUGCACAGGUGGACAAAACAUUUGCCUCAGGAUGAAUCAAACUUGAGUCUCACUCAAACUUGAUUUAGAUGAUAUUUAGAUAAGAUUUGGGACAUAAUAGUUGAUGCUGGAAUAUGAUAAGAUUUUGGGGUUGUUGGGAUGGAAGUGAGUGUAUUUUGCAUGUGAGAAGGACAUGAAUUCUGGAGGGCCAGAGGUCACAGCGUUAUGGGCUGAGCUGUAUUUCCCUAAAAUUUAUACAUUGCAGUUCUAACUCUCAGUAACUCGGAAUGUGGCUAUAUUUGAAGAUAAGGUAUUUACAGAGAUAAUUAAGUUAAAAUGAAGUCUUUAGAGUAAGCCCCAAUCCAAUCUGACUGGUGUCUUCAUAAGAAGAGGAAAUUUGGACACACAAAGAGACACCAGAGGUGUUUGUGCACAGACUGAAGACCAUGUGGGGACACAGUGAGAAGGUGGCCAUCUGCAAACCAAGCAGAGAAGCCUCAGAAUAAACUACACCUGCCAACACCUUGAUCUUGGACUUCCA
rnacentral:lncRNA from 10 species